GUCCACACCGUAAACGAUGGAUACUAGGUGUCCGGCCUUUCGGGGCUGGGUGCCCAAGGGAAACCGAUAAGUAUCCCACCUGGGGAGUACGUCCGCAAGGAUGAAACUCAAAGGAAUUGACGGGGGCCCGCACAAGCGGUGGAGCAUGUGGUUUAAUUCGAUGAUACGCGAGGAACCUUACCUGGGCUAGAAUGCCCCUGACCGGCCGUGAAAGCGGUUUUCCCUUCGGGGCAGGGUGCAAGGUGCUGCAUGGUUGUCGU
rnacentral:rRNA from 1 species